CUUGUCCGCACCGGUUCCGGCGGUGACGUCACCCUGCCUGCGGGGCGCUUGGCAACUCAGACAGCGACGGUGACGUCACACGCCCGAUGACAUCGUGGAAGCCUGGGACCGCCGUUUGGACCCACUGUCCAGCCUUUGUCAUAGACAUACUAGGCGCCGCCGCAGCCCUGCGUCCAGGUAGCAGCUUCCAGGGGCACCAGGCUCCAGGCUGCCUGCCCCUGCCGGGCACACCUCAAAGAAGAGAAGUGGAGUGGGACCCCUUUCUCCAAAACCCAGGAAGAGGUCCUGCAUAACCCCAAUCCAUAAGCUGUCUACACUAGGAGUUCUUAACAUGGAGUCUCGGGAUGGCCUGAAGUACGUGCUAAGCUGUGGGUGGGAAGGUGGUGGGGCUGCGGGGGCUUUCUCUGUCGGCUCCUUCUGUGAAACCCACCCACCACCCCCCAGUCCAACCAGAGACUGAGGAAAUGGCAGACCGGACUCGCAGCUCCACCCACGAGAAGCAGCAGCGCACCCCUGCAGUCCCACAGCCUGGCAUGGGGCGGAACGUUCCCGGAGGUGCCAGUGGGCAGGGAAAAGGUACUCAAGGGCCUUUACAUGUCCUGGGUCUAAGGGUGCCCAGAUGGACAAAUGACGGGAAGAGAACCCAUCAACACGCCCAUGGCAUGAGACGUCAGGGCGGCGUUGCCCUCCCAGCCGUCUGCUUCCCACACUUUCCGGUUUCUAGCAGAGCCUGGCACGCACGGUGCACUCCGCCCACUACGCAGGGUCUUCAGAAAGGUCACGGACAUGGCAUAGCAUGAAAAAAGUACGCAAGGAUUUAAACUUUUCGCAACGAAAUGAACUUAUACUUCAACUCCAUCUUUCCGUGAACUGUGGGAAGUCCUCUCCUGUUUCUCGAAUGGGUGGCUCAUGAUAAAAACGUGGGGCAGUCAGGGAGGCAGCCGUCGGACAGUGAGCGGCCAGCCAGACCCACCGGGGUGGCUGCUGCCUUGGGUCUGCAGACCACCCUGAGUCUGCCAGGCACGCACGCACGCAUGAUCCGGGCUGGCUGAGGCUGGGGUGGAUCGAGAUGGUAAGACUGUCGGGGAGCUGUAUCUCUGUCUGUCUCUGUCUCUCAUUCACAGAAUGAAUAAAGAAACUUACAAUAAAUCCCAACGCGAACUCUACAGAAAUCUGCAGAUAGAGCACCUGCCCCAAGCUAGGUGGGCAUGUGGACAGCGCCCCUCCCAAAGGAGGCGUGGACAAGGGCCAGGCUGGAGCACACGCACAGGGACAGGACUCGGGCAGGCAAGGAGUGAGGACUCCUGGUGGGCAGGGGGGACAGCCAGAUGCUAGCGUGCCCCACCGGACCCUCAUCCCCGGGGCAGGUGGGAAGUAGCCUGAUUUUACCGGCUCCCAUGUCCCUCUUCCUCCCCAUCAAACAGAAAGGGCCAGCCCCCCGCAAAAGUCAGUCAUUGAAGACAUACUGGCCCUGUCCCCUGCGCCAUGCCCUGGUUCUUACCUGCUUGCCCCCAUCCCCGGGGGCCCACACCCGGGCAUCGGCUUGGCAGGGGCAGUGCCCGCGGAUGUCAAACUUGACCCAGACCUGGUGCAUGGCAGUGCC